rnacentral:rRNA from 1 species
GACAGCAGUAGCCGCGGGAAUACGUAGGUGGCAAGCGUUGUCCGGAAUUAUUGGGCGUAAAGGGCUCGCAGGCGGUUUCUUAAGUCUGAUGUGAAAGCCCCCGGCUCAACCGGGGAGGGUCAUUGGAAACUGGGAAACUUGAGUGCAGAAGAGGAGAGUGGAAUUCCACGUGUAGCGGUGAAAUGCGUAGAGAUGUGGAGGAACACCAGUGGCGAAGGCGACUCUCUGGUCUGUAACUGACGCUGAGGAGCGAAAGCGUGGGGAGCGAACAGGAUUAGAUACCCCUGUAGUCCCUGUCUCUUAUAC